rnacentral:rRNA from 1 species
UACGUAGGGUGCGAGCGUUAAUCGGAAUUACUGGGCGUAAAGCGUGCGCAGGCGGUCCGUUGUGUCCGAUGUGAAAGCCCCGGGCUUAACCUGGGAAUGGCAUGGGAAACUGGCGGGCUGGAGUGUGGCAGAGGGGGGUGGAAUUCCGCGUGUAGCAGUGAAAUGCGUAGAGAUGCGGAGGAACACCGAUGGCGAAGGCAGCCCCCUGGGCCAACACUGACGCUCAGGCACGAAAGCGUGGGGAGCAAACAGGAUUAGAAACCCCUGUAGUCC